GCUGGGUGUGGUGGUGCACACCUGUAAUCUCAGCUACUCUGGAGUCUGAGGCACAGGAAUCACUUGAACCCAGGAGAUGGAGGCUGCAGUGAGCUAUGGUCAUGCCACUGCACUCCAGCCUGGGUGACAGAGUGAGACCGUGUCUCAA
rnacentral:SRP_RNA from 1 species